CUUGGACCCUGCCAUUACUCACCAGUAACUGUCAACGUUUCUCUAAAAGGGUCAAAGGGAAGAAUAGUCUUUUCACCGUUUCUUACUUCGUCAUAUCAACCAAAAAAACCCUACUUAUGUCAACCCAAUUAGAAUUAACCCCUCCCCCCCCCACACCAAUUCACACGUCUUCUUUCUUCGUUCCAUCGCCGAUGAAGGAUUCCGGGCACGAUCACAAAGCAAAGGAUUUUGGACACAAUCACAAACGUUAAUUUUGAUGUUUCAGGGUCUAAGAUAACAAAUUAGAUGUGAGGAUGAACAUUUCCGUCACAACUCUUGUCAUCCACGUGGUGGUCACUCUGUAUGGUCGCCCAUUCCUCCACUUCCAAUAUCCACCUGGAAAUCAGAGGAUUGAAUAGUUUAACUGAUAAGUGAAGUGUAGGAGUAUUAUAUGAUCUUAUGCUUAAUUUAUUAUGGAUGUAUUUAGUUUAAGUAGUUAUGGAUGAUUGUCUAAUUUAACUUAUUUUGGAUUAUGGAUGUUGUUUUGUUUGACUGAUUAUGGAUGACGAUCUUAUGUGCAUUAUUUGAA